CCUACGGGUGGCUGCAGUGAGGAAUAUUGGUCAAUGGACGAGAGUCUGAACCAGCCAAGUAGCGUGAAGGAUGACUGCCCUAUGGGUUGUAAACUUCUUUUAUAUGGGAAUAAAAUGUUCCACGUGUGGCUUUUUGUAUGUACCUUAUGAAUAAGGAUCGGCUAACUCCGUGCCAGCAGCCGCGGUAAUACGGAGGAUCCGAGCGUUAUCCGGAUUUAUUGGGUUUAAAGGGAGCGUAGGUGGAUUGUUAAGUCAGUUGUGAAAGUUUGCGGCUCAACCGUAAAAUUGCAGUUGAGACUGGCAGUCUUGAGUACAGUAGAGGUGGGCGGAAUUCGUGGUGUAGCGGUGAAAUGCUUAGAUAUCACGAAGAACUCCGAUUGCGAAGGCAGCUGACUGGACUGCAACUGACACUGAGGCUCGAAAGUGUGGGUAUCAAACAGGAUUAGAUACCCCUGUAGUC
rnacentral:rRNA from 1 species